rnacentral:rRNA from 1 species
UUGAAGCUUAGGUAAUACUAAGUGGAGGACCGAACCGUAGUACGCUGAAAAGUGCCCGGAUGACUUGUGGAUAGCGGUGAAAUUCCAAUCGAACCUGGAGAUAGCUGGUUCUCUUCGAAAUAGCUUUAGGGCUAGCGUAUAGUAUUGUUUAAUGGGGGUAGAGCACUGAAUGUGGAAUGGCGGCAUCUAGCUGUACUGACUAUAAUCAAACUCCGAAUACCAUUAAAAUUAAGCUAUGCAGUCGGAUCGUGGGUGAUAACGUCCACGCUCGCGAGGGAAACAACCCAGAUCGUCAGCUAAGGUCCCAAAAUUGUGUUAAGUGAGAAAGGUUGUGAGAUUUCAUAAACAACUAGGAAGUUGGCUUAGAAGCAGCCACCUUUUAAAGAGUGCGUAAUUGCUCACUAGUCAAGAGAUCUUGCGCCAAUAAUGUAACGGGACUCAAACACAAUACCGAAGCUACGGGCACAUUAUGUGCGUUAGGAGAGCGUUUUAAUUUCGUUGAAGUCAGACCGUGAGGACUGGUGGAGAGAUUAAAAGUGAGAAUGCCGGCAUGAGUAACGAUUCGAAGUGAGAAUCUUCGACGCCUAUUGGGAAAGGUUUCCUGGGCAAGGUUCGUCCACCCAGGGUUAGUCAGGGCCUAAGAUGAGGCAGAAAUGCAUAGUCGAUGGACAACAGGUUAAUAUUCCUGUACUUGGUAAAAGAAUGAUGGAGUGACGAAAAAGGAUAGUUCUACCACUUACUGGAUUGUGGGGC